rnacentral:rRNA from 1 species
GAUGAACGCUGGCGGCGUGCUUAACACAUGCAAGUCGAACGGAAAGGCCCAAGCUUGCUUGGGUCCUCGAGUGGCGAACGGGUGAGUAACACGUGGGUGAUCUGCCCUGCACUUCGGGAUAAACCUGGGAAACUGGGUCUAAUACCGGAUAGGACGAUGGUUUGGAUGCCAUUGUGGAAAGUUUUUUCGGUGUGGGAUGAGCUCGCGGCCUAUCAGCUUGUUGGUGGGGUAAUGGCCUACCAAGGCGUCGACGGGUAGCCGGCCUGAGAGGGUGUACGGCCACAUUGGGACUGAGAUACGGCCCAGACUCCGACGGGAGGCAGCAGUGGGGAAUAUUGCACAAUGGGCGCAAGCCUGAUGCAGCGACGCCGCGUGGGGGAUGACGGCCUUCGGGUUGAAAACACCUUUCGCUAGGGACGAAGCGUUUUGUGACGGUACCUGGAGAAGAAGCACCGGCUAACUACGUG